rnacentral:rRNA from 1 species
AUUGAACGCUGGCGGCAUGCCUUACACAUGCAAGUCGAACGGCAGCACGGACUUCGGUCUGGUGGCGAGUGGCGAACGGGAGAGUAAUGUAUCGGAACGUACCUUUCAGUGGGGGAUAACGUAGCGAAAGUUACGCUAAUACCGCAUAUUCUGUGAGCAGGAAAGCAGGGGAUCGCAAGACCUUGCGCUGAUUGAGCGGCCGAUAUCAGAUUAGCUAGUUGGUGAGGUAAAGGCUCACCAAGGCGACGAUCUGUAGCGGGUCUGAGAGGAUGAUCCGCCACACUGGAACUGAGACACGGUCCAGACUCCUACGGGAGGCAGCAGUGGGGAAUUUUGGACAAUGGGGGCAACCCUGAUCCAGCCAUCCCGCGUGAGUGAAGAAGGCCUUCGGGUUGUAAAGCUCUUUCGGCCGGGAAGAAAUCGCAUGGGCUAAUACCCUGUGCGGAUGACGGUACCGGCAUAAGAAGCACCGGCUAACUACGUGCCAGCAGCCGCGGUAAUACGUAGGGUGCGAGCGUUAAUCGGAAUUACUGGGCGUAAAGCGUGCGCAGGCGGUUUUUUAAGACAGGCGCGAAAUCCCCGGGCUCAACCUGGGAACUGCGCUUGUGACUGGAAGGCUAGAGUAUGGCAGAGGGGGGUGGAAUUCCACGUGUAGCAGUGAAAUGCGUAGAGAUGUG